GACGAACGCUGGCGGCGUGCCUAAUACAUGCAAGUUGAGCGCUGAAGGUUGGUACUUGUACCAACUGGAUGAGCAGCGAACGGGUGAGUAACGCGUGGGGAAUCUGCCUUUGAGCGGGGGACAACAUUUGGAAACGAAUGCUAAUACCGCAUAAAAACUUUAAACACAAGUUUUAAGUUUGAAAGAUGCAAUUGCAUCACUCAAAGAUGAUCCCGCGUUGUAUUAGCUAGUUGGUGAGGUAAAGGCUCACCAAGGCGAUGAUACAUAGCCGACCUGAGAGGGUGAUCGGCCACAUUGGGACGGAGACACGGCCCAAACUCCUACGGGAGGCAGCAGUAGGGAAUCUUCGGCAAUGGACGAAAGUCUGACCGAGCAACGCCGCGUGAGUGAAGAAGGUUUUCGGAUCGUAAAACUCUGUUGGUAGAGAAGAGCGUUGGUGAGAGUGGAAAGCUCAUCAAGUGACGGUAACUACCCAGAAAGGGACGGCUAACUACGUG
rnacentral:rRNA from 1 species